UACGUAGGGUGCGAGCGUUGUCCGGAAUUACUGGGCGUAAAGAGCUCGUAGGUGGUUUGUCGCGUUGUUCGUGAAAACCGGGGGCUUAACCCUCGGCGUGCGGGCGAUACGGGCAGACUUGAGUACUGCAGGGGAGACUGGAAUUCCUGGUGUAGCGGUGAAAUGCGCAGAUAUCAGGAAGAACACCCGUGGCUAAGGCGGCUCUCUAGUACGGUACUGACGCUGAGACGCGAAAGCGUGGGGAGCGAACAGG
rnacentral:rRNA from 1 species